CCUACGGGUGGCAGCCGUGGGGAAUAUUGGGCAAUGGGCGCAAGCCUGACCCAGCAACGCCGCGUGAAGGAAGAAGGCCCUCGGGUUGUAAACUUCUUUUAUUCGGGACGAAACAAAUGACGGUACCGAAUGAAUAAGCCACGACUAACUACGUACCAGAAGCCGCGGGAAUACGUAGGUGGCAAGCGUUAUCCGGGGUUACUGGGUGUAAGGGGCGGGUAGGCGGGUAAGCAAGUCAGACGUGAAAUUCCAGGGCUCAACCCUGGAACUGCGUUUGAACCGGUUCUUCUUGAGUGAUGGAGAGGCAGGCGGAAUUCCGUGUGGAGCGGUGAAAUGCGUAGAUAUACGGAGGAACACCAGUGGCGAAGGCGGCCUGCUGGACAUUAACUGACGCUGAGGCGCGAAAGCGUGGGGAGCAAACAGGAUUAGAUACCCGAGUAGUC
rnacentral:rRNA from 1 species